CAAGCUAAUGUGUUUUUUUUUCUUUUGUUUUCGGUUUAAAUUUUAUGCGAUGCAACUUUGAGGAAGAUUUAAACAGAUCCUUCUUGUCAAAAUACAAGCUCAUGCAUUCCAUUUUCUGAUUCCUUUAUUUAACGCACAAGUAAACAAAGGUGAUUCACACAAAAGCCUGCUUAUAUGAUGUACGAACAAUAAACAGAAAGCUAUAA